UGGGGAAUAUUGCACAAUGGGCGCAAGCCUGAUGCAGCCAUGCCGCGUGUGUGAAGAAGGCCUUCGGGUUGUAAAGCACUUUCAGCGGGGAGGAAGGCGAUAAGGUUAAUAACCUUGUCGAUUGACGUUACCCGCAGAAGAAGCACCGGCUAACUCCGUGCCAGCAGCCGCGGUAAUACGGAGGGUGCAAGCGUUAAUCGGAAUUACUGGGCGUAAAGCGCACGCAGGCGGUUUGUUAAGUCAGAUGUGAAAUCCCCGGGCUCAACCUGGGAACUGCAUCUGAGACUGGCAAGCUUGAGUCUCGUAGAGGGGGGUAGAAUUCCAGGUGUAGAGGUGAAAUGCGUAGAGAUCUGGAGGAAUACCGGUGGCGAAGGCGGCCCCCUGGACGAAGACUGACGCUCAGGUGCGAAAGCGUGGGGAGCAAACAGG
rnacentral:rRNA from 1 species